AGCUACUGGUUCCAAAGCACAGUUUGAAAGGUCCAAGAAGAGUUGACAGAGGACAAAUAGUUUCUAUUUCCUUUAUCAGCUUGAGGCAGAGAUGCACAGCCAGAUCCCAUGAAGAGCCUUGUCACUGUGUGCCUUGGCCAGAAAAUGCAUAACUGAAAUCCCCCACCACCCAAACCAAGAGAAAUAUCACUAUCACCAUGAGAGCCAGAUCUAUACCUGUCCCAAGAGCAAGAACUCCACACUUGAUUUUGACAACUGCCUCAGACUAAAAAGCAGGUGUAAGGGCAUAUCUACACUUACCUCCGGAGCGAUCAAUCCAGCAGGGGUCGAUUUAUCACGUCUAGUGAAGACGUGAUAAAUCGACCGCCGAGAGCUCUCCCGUCAAUACGGAGCGAGAAGCGCAGGUGGAGUCAAGAGGGGGAGCGUCAGCAGUUGACCUACUGCAGUGAAGACACCGCGGUUAGUAGACCUAAGUAUGUGGACUUCAGCUAUGUUAUUCAUGUAGCUGAAGUUGCGUAACUUAGAUCGAUUCCCCGCCCCCCCAGUGGAGACCAGGCAUAAGACUUUACCAAGUCUCCUCAUGUUGCCUGCAACCCUCUGUGUUCUGACGCUUC